CCACGCGGCAGCCGCGGGUUCAGCAUCAGCGGCAGCGUGGUGGUCGGGCCCUGCGCCGUGCUGCCCCGCGCCAUCCUCCAGUGGAACGUCGGAUCGCAUCGCGACAUCUCGCUGCAGAGCCUGGCGCUGUUCCGUCUGCUGGAGCCGCGGAUCGCCCAACGCGUGUGCCACUUUCAACUUCCUGACAAGCGAGAAGCGUCUGACGGCCGCCGGCCUCAUCCCCCCGCAGGGCACCUACACGGGGCUCCCGGCCCUGCCCUCAGCCACGAACUGCUCCCCCCCGCGGCGCCGGGCCUGCCCCGCGCCGAGCGCCGCUGCGGCAGGCGAAGAAAUGCUGCAGGAUGGGCAGUCGGAGCCCAGCUGCUGGUUCAGUGCUGCCUCUCGGUUGCAGAGUGCUUUACGGCCCUGCUUGGGGGCUGCACAAGGAGAAUACACAUAAAACAGAAGUACAAAGCAAUCACGGAGUGGUUAACGCUCAGCAAAGGUGGGCUGUGAUGAGCUAUUAGGCUUGGUGUGUUCACCACCCUGCAGGGCUGGCCAGGGGCUGUGGAUCAAGGGCAGCAGCUCCUUGGGUUGGGCGUGAGGCGUCAGGGCUGCCUCCUGGCAGCAGCACCUUGCUUGCCCCAGGCUCUCCUCUGGGGUUUGUGGCUCCCUGCUGAGCCCAGAGCUGCUGCAGGAUGCUGUGGUGCUUCCCCUCCUCCCUGCGGGUGAAUGAGUGCUUGGCUGCCAUGUAAUUCCAGGUUCUGGUUUUAGCAUAUGCAAAUCUAAUUCGACAUCACCG
rnacentral:lncRNA from 1 species